rnacentral:tRNA from 1 species
ACUAAGGUGGUUCAGUAGUAGAAUUCUCACCUUUCACAUGAGAGACCCAGGUUUCAUUCCUGACCAGUA